rnacentral:rRNA from 1 species
GCCAUCGGCCAUACCACGCUGAAUGCGCCGGUUCUCGUCCGAUCACCGAAGCUAAGCAACAUCGGGCUCCGUCAGUACUUGGGGGGGACUGGGAACACGGAGUGCUGAUGGCA